AGGAGACUGUCAGCAGACCACCUUGGAGGGGAUGCUUGGAGCUGCCUAACGUGCGAUUCAAAGAUGAAUUCCAUGUGUUUGGAGAAGAAGCCCUAGCCUCAACACAAAGGUUGGCCACAUUCCAGCCAAGGUAGCACGGAGUGAAGGCCCAUGGAGGGAGAGCUGGGCUUUUCUGAACUACUUCAGUACACCUUGCUGUGCCUCGGCCUGCCGUGUUUCAUCCCCAUGGCUGUCCUCAGUGAUGUGCAUGGUCACUGCUCCCUUCACCACUGAGAAGACGGGCACAGGACGGUCAGGGGACGUGUCCAAGGUCCCACAGCAGGAAGGGCUGGAGCCAGAAUGUGGUCUGAGAGGCUGGAUAUACAAAGAGACAAUGGUGUGACCAUCUGUACAAAUGGAACUAUGGCCCACAACCUGCAGCAGCCAGCCCAGGAAGCCAACCUGUCACCUGCAGUAGCCAGGAUGGAUGCUGGCCUGCCCUCAACCACAACAUUGAACCCAACAUCCCCCUAAGUAGGUUGUACUCACAUCAUUGGUCUUAUGGGGAAAUUUUAAGAACUCCCACUUGUAAGGUUUUAUAGCCCUCUAUGGAAUAUUGAAGAAAGAGUAAAAUGCAUCCAAAAAAAAAAACAAAAAACACUAAACUGGAUAAAUUCUAAGGCCUCUUCAGGUCUUAAGAUGGCCAUUUUCUAGGUCCUCUUGCUGCAGCAGUGAAAUCCACAAACACGGGCAAGUCAGUCAGUUACGUGCCUUUCAGAGAAAACUUCUGACUUAGGAACUCCAGCUAUUUGGCCCAACCCAUAUUAGAUUGUGUU
rnacentral:lncRNA from 1 species